rnacentral:tRNA from 1 species
GGUUGGUUAGCACAGUUGUUAGAGCUUAGGCCUUGUGACGGGAAGAUCCCGGGUUCGAAUCCCGAAAUUUACUU